GUACACGCUGUGACUAGCAUAUCAAUAAGCGGAGGAAAAGAAACUAACAAGGAUUCCCCUAGUAACGGCGAGUGAAGCGGGGAAGAGCUCAAAUUUGAAAUCUUAAAGGGUUUCCCUUUACGAAUUGUAGUUUAAAGAAGUGUUUUCUGUUGAGGUUUUGGUAAAAGUUCUUUGGAAUAGGACAUCAUAGAGGGUGAGAAUCCCGUAUUUGACCUUUACUUUCAACUUUGUGAUACACUUUCAAAGAGUCGGAUUGUUUGGGAAUGCAGUCCAAAAUGGGUGGUAAAUUUCAUCUAAAGCUAAAUAUUGGCGAGAGACCGAUAGCGAACAAGUACCGUGAGGGAAAGAUGAAAAGAACUUUGAAAAGAGAGUUAAACAGUACGUGAAAUUGUCAAAAGGGAAGCGUUUGACACCAGUGUUGUUUUUCUGAAAAUCAAUUAAAGAACUGUUUAUGCUAAGUUGUUUAGACUUUAUCAGCUAAUCUGUUUAGUUUUGAGCUUUUCUUUAAUGCACUUUUCAGUUAACAAGUCAACAUCAAUUUCUUUUGCUGUAAAAAAGCUUGAGGAAGGUGGCUUGAGAUUCGUCUUAAGUGUUUAUAGCCUCUUGCCUAUGCAGUCGGAGAGAUUGAGGUCUGCAGCGUAGAUCCUUCGGGGCUAAAUGCAUUUGUGCUAAGUUAUAGCAUUUUAUAGACAACUUGUUGACUAUGAUUUGUCUUGUAGCUUACUCGCUUAUGUUAUUUUACCUACGCUUAGGAUGUUGAAGAUGUAGCACAUCAU
rnacentral:rRNA from 1 species